rfam:Felis catus isolate Cinnamon breed Abyssinian chromosome A3, whole genome shotgun sequence.
GCCUGGGUGGCUCAGUCGGUUAAGCGUCUGACUUCGGCUCAGGUCAUGAUGUCACCGUCCGUGAGUUCAAGCCCCACGUCGGGCU